GGGUUAUGUUAUAGCUUAUGCUAUAAUGUACCUAGUGGCAGACGGGUGAGUAAUAUAUAGGAAUCUACCUAGUAGUACGGAAUAAUUGCUGGAAACGGCAGCUAAUGCCGUAUACGCCCUAUGGGGGAAAGAUUUAUUGCUAUUAGAUGAGCCUAUAUUAGAUUAGCUAGUUGGUAAGGUAAUGGCUUACCAAGGCUAUGAUCUAUAGCUGGUCUGAGAGGAUGAUCAGCCACACUGGAACUGAGAUACGGUCCAGACUCCUACGGGAGGCAGCAGUGGGGAAUAUUGGACAAUGAGCGGAAGCUUGAUCCAGCUAUGCCGCGUGAGUGAAGAAGGCCCUUGGGUUGUAAAGCUCUUUCAGUGAGGAAGAUAAUGACGGUACUCACAGAAAAAGUCCCGGC
rnacentral:rRNA from 1 species